UAGUAAAUACACAAAGUCCCUCUUCUUCGCCACCACCGCAUUUUGGCGCUGCCGUCUCUCAGUUUUCUCCCGAAGCUAUUCUGUCAGGAGCAGUCCCAAGUUUCUUCUUCUCAGUACGAACAAAUCUUUGGUUUUGCAAGAAACACAAGAAGUAUGGCUUUGACAAACUUCAUACUGACUGUUGCUGGUGUAAGUGCGGUGGUUCUUCUGCUGAGGAGUGAUGUGAAGCAAUCAGCUACCAUCUUCAGGCGCAAUGUCAAACAUAUCCGUAAGUGGCUUGAAGAAGAAUCUGCUAAUGCCCCCAAAAUCACCAAGGAACUGGAAUCAAAAGCUUCACCAAAGGAGAUCCCCAAGGAGGACAAGCACUAGUGUCGAUAUGGGCAUAAUGGGUUGUUCACAACCCUGGGCUAUUCGUUCCUUUUCUUUAGGAAUAAGUCUUUGAUCAAUGCCUGGAUUUUCUGUUGAUAUCUUGUUUUUGGUCUUUAUAUUUACUGAGAAAGCUCUGUAUUUUUGUAACUAGUCAUACGCAUAGUUGUUAUGACUUUAUGUUGAGAAGAGAUUCUGGUAUACAAUAGAAGCCUUACCAUGUUUUUUCCCAUAAAAGCCUUCCAUCAUGUCCAGUGAAUAAGAUAGAACCUUUAGCUUUUUCCUAAA